rnacentral:sRNA from 1 species
GCUGGGUGCAGUGAUGCACGCCUGUGAUCCCAGCAGCUUGGGAAGCUGAGGCAGGAGGAUCACAAGUUCAAAGCCAGCCUCAGCAAAAGUGAGGUGCUAAGCAACUCAGUGAGACCCUGUCUCUA